rnacentral:lncRNA from 1 species
UUCAAUCGUUGCCCUUUAAUUCUUGAAUUGCCCCAAUCGAUUUUAUGAAUGAAACUGAAGAUUUAAUAGCAAAUUGAAGAUUUAAUGGGAAAAUAAACACACCAGUUUAAUCUGCCCAGACGUUUCCAUAGCCACAAUUAUUUAAGAUGGAACCCAUGAUUGAAUUCAGUGGUCAUUUGCGACCUCAGUUGCCUAUAAUCAGGUCCUCCACACACGGUUGCUUAGUUUCACAGAGUUGCAACAGAUUAUGGUUUAAUGACCACGGUUUUUCUUUAGGCGAUGUUUAAGAAAUUUAUUACAAUUCGGGAUGAUAAACAAACCGCUCAAGUUAAACUAUUUGGGGAUUACUUGCAGGGGUACACAUUUUUAAGAAGCAUGUGCAAGCGACUGUAAGCUGGUAGAAGAGGAAGUUCAUCAGACUUUUACAUGCUCUGUGCAGCACCCCCCGAGGCUAAUUGCUAUGAAGUAGCGAAUAUAGACGAUGGGUAUUUGGAAACACUAAAUGCUAUGGAUGUUGUGGGAAUAAACUAAGAUGAGCAGGAUGCGAUAUUCCGUGUUGUAGCUGCGAUUCUUCAUCUCCGUAACGGUGGCUUCAUCAAAGGAAAGGAGUUUGAUUCUUCCAAAGUGAAGACGAAAAAUCGCUCCGUCAUCUUCGUACAACAGCCGCGCUACUCAUGUGUAAUGCGAAAGCACUUGAACAAUCUUUAUGUGAGCGUGUUAUCUUAACUCCAGCAGACGGAAAUAUUACAAAACCACUGGAUCCAGCGGCGGCAGCCUUGAGUCGUGAUGCAUUGGCAAAAACAGUUUAUUCUAGACUCUGUGAUUGGUCUACCAGCAAUCUAUUUCAGCAGCCUGCAUCCAAGACUUGCCUCGAGAAAGGAUGCUUGUAGUCUUGUACAGAUGCUUGCUAGAUGAUUCGUGAUACAACUAUUCAGGCCCUUAUCAAGGCAGGAUGAUUUCAAAUUUUAGACUAUCGCUUAGCUUAUUGUUCCAAUCAAUUAUGUAGUUUCUUUGAAAUCAAACAUUUUAUGGUGUUAUCUGU